CCCGAUCAUGCAAAGAAACAACCAAACAGCAACUCCUGAACAUACUCAGAGGAAGCCAAUGCCCUUAUCCCAAUGUUCUGGCAACAAACCAACUUACCAUCUAGGUAACAAUGGGUACAACAGGUGGAAAGGUCAAGGGAACUGGAAGAGUUUCAUUGGUCGACUCUGGGGAAGAGGGAUAGAUAUCUCAAAACCUGGGACUCAUGGCUCAAUUUCUG